CCUACAUGAAGCUGGAGUUACUAGUAAUCGCAGAUCAGAAUGCUGCGGUGAAUGCGUUCCCGGGUCUUGUACACACCGCCCGUCACACCACGGAAGUUGGGGGCGCCCGAAGCCACUUAGCUAACCCAUUUGGGAAGCGAGUGUCGAAGGUGAAAUCAAUAACUGGGGUGAAGUCGUAACAAGGUAAC
rnacentral:rRNA from 1 species